rnacentral:rRNA from 1 species
AAAAAUGAAAAGUGUCAUUCACUUUAGGCGGUGGAUCACUUGGCUCGUGCGUCGAUGAAGAACGCAG